GCAUAUCAAUAAGCGGAGGAAAAGAAACCAACAGGGAUUGCCCUAGUAACGGCGAGUGAAGCGGCAACAGCUCAAAUUUGAAAUCUGGCGUCUUUGGCGUCCGAGUUGUAAUUUGCAGAGGGCGCUUUGGCAUUGGCAGCGGUCCAAGUUCCUUGGAACAGGACGUCACAGAGGGUGAGAAUCCCGUACGUGGUCGCUAGCCUUUACCGUGUAAAGCCCCUUCGACGAGUCGAGUUGUUUGGGAAUGCAGCUCUAAAUGGGAGGUAAAUUUCUUCUAAAGCUAAAUACUGGCCAGAGACCGAUAGCGCACAAGUAGAGUGAUCGAAAGAUGAAAAGCACUUUGGAAAGAGAGUUAAAAAGCACGUGAAAUUGUUGAAAGGGAAGCGCUUGCAGCCAGACUUGCCUGUAGUUGCUCAUCCGGGUUUUUACCCGGUGCACUCUUCUAUAGGCAGGCCAGCAUCAGUUUGGGCGGUUGGAUAAAGGUCUCUGUCACGUACCUCCUCUCGGGGAGAACUUAUAGGGGAGACGUAAUGCAACCAGCCUGGACUGAGGUCCGCGCAUCUGCUAGGAUGCUGGCGUAAUGGCUGUAAGCGGCCCGUCUUGAAACACGGACCAAGGAGUCUAACAUCUAUGCGAGUGUUUGGGUGUCAAGCCCGAGCGCGUAAUGAAAGUGAACGGAGGUGGGAACCUUUCGGGGUGCACCAUCGACCGAUCCUGAUGUCUUCGGAUGGAUUUGAGUAAGAGCAUAGCUGUUGGGACCCGAAAGAUGGUGAACUAUGCUUGAAUAGGGUGAAGCCAGAGGAAACUCUGGUGGAGGCUCGCAGCGGUUCUGACGUGCAAAUCGAUCGUCAAAUUUGGGCAUAGGGGCGAAAGACUAAUCGAACUAUCUAGUAGCUGGUUCCUGCGA
rnacentral:rRNA from 1 species